GACGAACGCUGGCGGCGUGCCUAAUACAUGCAAGUAGAACGCACAGUUUAUACCGUAGCUUGCUACACCAUAGACUGUGAGUUGCGAACGGGUGAGUAACGCGUAGGUAACCUGCCUGGUAGCGGGGGAUAACUAUUGGAAACGAUAGCUAAUACCGCAUAAUAUUAAUUAUUGCAUGAUAAUUAAUUGAAAGGUGCAAUUGCACCACUACCAGAUGGACCUGCGUUGUAUUAGCUAGUAGGUGAGGUAACGGCUCACCUAGGCGACGAUACAUAGCCGACCUGAGAGGGUGAUCGGCCACACUGGGACUGAGACACGGCCCAGACUCCUACGGGAGGCAGCAGUAGGGAAUCUUCGGCAAUGGACGAAAGUCUGACCGAGCAACGCCGCGUGAGUGAAGAAGGUUUUCGGAUCGUAAAGCCCUGUUGUAAGAGAAGAACGGGUGUGAGAGUGGAAAGUUCACACUGUGACGGUAUCUUACCAGAAAGGGACGGCUAACUACGUG
rnacentral:rRNA from 1 species